UGCAUGGCUGUCGUCAGCUCGUGUCGUGAGAUGUUGGGUUAAGUCCCGCAACGAGCGCAACCCUUGUUUUUAGUUGCCUUUAAGGAACUCUAAUAAGACUGCCGGUUAUAAACCGGAGGAAGGCGGGGACGACGUCAAGUCAGCAUGCCCCUUACACCCUGGGCUACACACGUGCUACAUUGGGCGAGACAAUGAGAUGCGACUCUGCGAAGAUUAGCUAAUCUAUAAACUCGUUCUAAGUUCGGAUUGUAGGCUGCAACUCGCCUACAUGAAGGUGGAAUCGCUAGUAAUCGCUGGUCAGCUAUCUCAUGCGGUGAUUUCGUUCCCGGGCCUUGUACACACCGCCCGUCACACCAUGGAAGCUGGUUAUGCCCGAAGUCGUUACUCUAACCAAUUGGAGGAGGAUGCCUAAGGUAGAAUUAGUGACUGGGGUGAAGUCGU
rnacentral:rRNA from 1 species